GAACACGAUUCGGAAAACGAGUACUGCUAAUCCUCUAAUCCACGGUUCAACUCCGCGGCGCGUUCA
rnacentral:tRNA from 1 species